rnacentral:tRNA from 1 species
GGAAAUAGGUUAUUCAAGAAUAAGCUUCUAACUUAAUUCUUUAGCAGUGAAACUCUGUUAAUAUUUCUA